rnacentral:rRNA from 1 species
GACGGAGGAUGCAAGUGUUAUCCGGAAUCACUGGGCGUAAAGCGUCUGUAGGUGGUCAAAUAAGUCAACUGUUAAAUCUUGAGGCUCAACCUCAAAAUCGCAGUCGAAACUAUUAGACUAGAGUAUAGUAGGGGUAAAGGGAAUUUCCAGUGGAGCGGUGAAAUGCGUAGAGAUUGGAAAGAACACCGAUGGCGAAGGCACUUUACUGGGCUAUUACUAACACUCAGAGACGAAAGCUAGGGGAGCGAAUGGG